AUAAGCAACUUGCCCGAAUCCCGCGUAAGCGGGAGCACUGGGGAAUUCCGUGAAUGGCAUAUUCAGUGCAAAACGUGGCUAUAUGCUGGAACAUCCGGGUAUGGAGCACUACGUACUAAUUAAAAUGGAAAAUUAGUAUGUGAGAAUGUGACUUCUGCGGACAAUCAGCAGGAAACCUUAAGUAAGAGGGAUCCUCAGAGACUAUACGCCAUGCUCCCACAGAGCUCACUUGAGUAAAGUGGGAUGAUGAUAGAGUCCGAUCCCCAUGGCGACAUGGGG
rnacentral:ncRNA from 1 species